AGUCCCGUAGCUCAGUUGGUAGAGUGCCUUCCUUACAAGCAGGAUGUCACAGGUUCGAUUCCUGUCGGGACUACCA
rnacentral:tRNA from 1 species